rnacentral:tRNA from 1 species
GAGGGUAUAGUUCAGUGGUAGAGUGCAUGCUUAGCAUGCAUAAAGUCCUGCCUGGGUUCAUUCCCCAGUACCUUCA